rnacentral:tRNA from 1 species
GCCCUCGUGGUAUAACGGAUAACACGACGCGCUUCGGACGCGUAGUUGCGGGUUCGAAUCCUGCCGAGGGCA